GACGAACGCUGGCGGCGUGCUUAACACAUGCAAGUCGAACGGAAAGGCCCUGCUUUUGUGGGGUGCUCGAGUGGCGAACGGGUGAGUAACACGUGAGUAACCUGCCCUUGACUUUGGGAUAACUUCAGGAAACUGGGGCUAAUACCGGAUAGGAGCUCCUGCUGCAUGGUGGGGGUUGGAAAGUUUCGGCGGUUGGGGAUGGACUCGCGGCUUAUCAGCUUGUUGGUGGGGUAGUGGCUUACCAAGGCUUUGACGGGUAGCCGGCCUGAGAGGGUGACCGGCCACAUUGGGACUGAGAUACGGCCCAGACUCCUACGGGAGGCAGUAGUGGGGAAUAUUGCACAAUGGGCGGAAGCCUGAUGCAGCAACGCCGCGUGCGGGAUGACGGCCUUCGGGUUGUAAACCGCUUUCGCCUGUGACGAAGCGUGAGUGACGGUAAUGGGUAAAGAAGCAUCGGCUAACUACGUG
rnacentral:rRNA from 1 species